rnacentral:rRNA from 1 species
UACGUAGGGCCAAGCGUUGUCCGGAUUUAUUGGGCGUAAAGAGCUCGUAGGCGGUUUGGAUAGUCGGGUGUGAAAACUCCGAGCUCAACUCGGAGACGCCACCCGAUACUGCCAUGACUAGAGUCCGGUAGGGGAGCAGGGGAAUUCCUGGGUGUAGCGGUGAAAUGACGCAGAUAUCAGGAGGAACACCGGUGGCGAAGGCGCUGCUCUGGGCCGGUACUGACGCUGAGGAGCGAAAGCGUGGGUAGCAAACAGG